rnacentral:misc_RNA from 1 species
UCCGGGUUGGACCCGGCGGUCCCGCCAGACAUGGUAACUAGCAGCGAGGGUUGCGCUCGUUGCGGGACUUAACCCAACACCUCACGGCACGAGCUGACGACAGCCAUGCAGCAUCUGUGCACGCUCCCUUGCGGGUCCUCAACCUUUCGGCCUCGUACCACGUGCAUGUCAAGCCCAGGUAAGGUUCUUCGCGUUGCGUCGAAUUAAAGAACAUGCUCCGCUGCUUGUGCGGGCCCCCGUCAAUUCUUUUGAGUUUUAGCCUUGCGGCCGUACUCCCCAGGCGGAACACUUAUCGCGUUAGCUGCGGCACAGAGGGAUGACGUACCAAGGUUGGUU